rnacentral:rRNA from 1 species
AUGUUGAAACACAAGGAUUUCUUCUUUUCCUUGUGCAAAUUUGUUGUGGGGAAUGGAGAGAAUACCCGGUUCUGGGGAGAUUGGUGGAUUGGCCCAAAAGCCUUGAAAGAUAGUUACCCACGUAUAUAUAAUAUAUGCUUUGAUAAGGAGAAGUCAGUGGCCUGGGUUCUGGAAAAAGGACUAGAUAAUAUAGGCUUUAGGAGAUCGCUGUAUGGG